rnacentral:lncRNA from 1 species
GUGAAGCUGCUGCGCGAGCUUGUUGCCGUGGAGUCGCCGCCGUUGAGCUACCCGCUGGAAGAACCCUAGCGCCGCCUGUUCCGCCGCUGUUCGCCAUCGACUCCGGUCGAGCCACCUCAGCAUCACCAUCAAUGUGGGCGCGUCGUCGAGGCGAGUUGAGCCAGCAAGUCGCCGUCGCCGGAGACCUCGGCGCCGGCGAGUUGAGGCGCCUACCCGCGCCGGUGCCCACAGCCAAGGCCGGGGGUACUGUGUGCUGACCGGGUCUGCGAAGCAGUGAGAGAGGGUAGAGCGGGGUGCGUGAGAAGAAUUUUUGGGGGGUUUGGAUAAUUAUAGAUUUUUCUUUUGACAGAUAAAUAGUUUAAAUUCGGUUUUUACCAUUUAAUUCACGGGAAAUUCUAGAAAUGUCCAAAAAUAGUGAAACCAAUUUUAUUAGGAUUUUUUAAUUUUCCUUUAUGCAUUAAAAAUUCUUAAACCCUAGGAAAUAUAAUAAAAUUUAGGUAUUUAUUUAUAUCCUUUUUACUUAAGGUAUUUAAAUAAAUGCUUAACCUUUAUUAAAUGCAUAAAAUAUUGAAUAAUGUUUUCAUAUUCACAAAUUAUUAUUAACCCAUAG